rnacentral:tmRNA from 1 species
GGGGGUGCACCGGUUUCGACUGGUACGGUUCGGGGUACAGGCCGCAGGUGGAGCGCCGAUCUCCUGAUUCGGCAACAAUUUAACUGCCAACAAUGACAGUUACGGUUACGCCUUAGCUGCGUAAUCGCGUGGAACCGUUCCGCCGCUCUGAGGGACGGCUUCCGCGUCGCAAUCAGGGCUGGUCCAGUUCCGCUUCCAGACGGAACGCGAUGAGAUAACUCUGGAAUACGGAGAGGCCGCACGCCGCACAGCCAAGCCGCUCCCGACAACAUAAUGGGCGGCUAAACCUGUAGACGUUUGUAUGCCGCGUAUGAGGACGCGGGUUCGACUCCCGCCACCUCCAUUC